rnacentral:rRNA from 1 species
CCCGCACAAGCGGUGGAGCAUGUGGUUUAAUUCGAUGAUACGCGAGGAACCUUACCUGGGCUCAAAUGUAUGUUGACGUAUUCUGAAAGGGAUACUUCUUCGGACAAUAUACAAGGUGCUGCAUGGUUGUCGUCAGCUCGUGCCGUGAGGUGUCGGGUUAAGUCCCAUAACGAGCGCAACCCCUAUCAUUAGUUGCCAUCAGGUCAAGCUGGGGACUCUAAUGAAACUGCCUACGCAAGUAGUGAGGAAGGCGGGGAUGACGUCAAAUCAGCACGGCCCUUACGUCCAGGGCUACACACGUGCUACAAUGGCCGAUACAGAGGGCAGCUACCUGGUGACAGGAUGCAAAUCUCCAAAGUCGGUCUCAGUUCGGAUCGGAGUCUGCAACCCGACUCCGUGAAGUUGGAUUCGCUAGUAAUCGCGCAUCAGCCAUGGCGCGGUGAAUACGUUCCCGGGCCUU